CUUCGGACUUAGCGGCGCACUUGUGAGUAACAUGUGGGAAUCUACCUAGAGGUUCGGAAUAACUGCGGGAAACUGUAGCUAAUACCGGAUGUGUCCGUAAGGAGAAAGAUUUAUUGCCUUUAGAUGAGCCCGCACUAGAUUAGCUUGUUGGUGAGGUAACUGCUCCACCAAGGCUACGAUCUAUAGCUGAUUUGAGAGGAUGAUCAGCCACACUGGGACUGAGACACGGCCCAGACUCCUACGGGAGGCAGCAGUCGGGAAUAUUGGACAAUGGGGGCAACCCUGAUCCAGCAAUGCCGCGUGAGUGAAGAAGGCCCUCGGGUUGUAAAACUCUUUCAUCAAUGAAGAUAAUGACAUUAAUUGAAGAAGAAGCUCCGGCUAACUCCGUGCUAGCAGCCGCGGUAAUACGGAGGGGGCUAGCGUUGUUCGGAAUUACUGGGCGUAAAGCGUAUGUAGGCGGAUCAAAAAGUUAGAUGUGAAAUCCCUGGGCUUAACCUAGGAACUGCAUUUACAACUAGUGAUCUAGAAUUUGGUAGGGGUUAGUAGAAUUUCCAGUGUAGAGGUGAAAUUCGUAGAUAUUGGAAAGAAUACCAGUGGCGAAGGCGACUAACUGGGCCAUUUUUGACGCUGAGAUACGAAAGCGUGGGUAGCAAACAGGAUUAGAUACCCUGGUAGUCCACGCCGUAACAGAUGAGUGCUAGUCGCUGGGUCAUAGAUCAGUGUCGAAGAUACGCAUAAGAAUCGGCUGGGAGUCGGGCGAA
rnacentral:rRNA from 1 species